rnacentral:rRNA from 1 species
CCACGCUGUAAACGAUGAGUGCUAGAUUUUGGUAGUCAAAUAUCAGAAUCGAAGUUAACAUAUUAAGCACUCCGCCUGGGGAGUACGUGCGCAAGCAUGAAACUCAAAGGAAUUGACGGGGACCCGCACAAGCAGCGGAGCAUGUGGUUUAAUUCGAAGCAACGCGAAGAACCUUACCAAGGCUUGACAUAUAUAUGGCGUGUAUAGAGAUAUACAUUUCCCUUUUAGGGACAUAUAUACAGGUGGUGCAUGGUUGU